GUUGCUAGUCAGGGUGUGGCAUCCUAGAAGAGUCCAGUUGAAUGAAAGAAUAGUGCCAGUCAAAGAAAUAGAUAGGCUACCUCAUACAUUAUUUUAAUUAACUAUCUUUCUCUUUCAGGUCUCCAAGAUUUUGGAGUAACUUUUUGUGGUGAGACUGACUUUGGGGGUUGUUUCAUCUGACUAGAACACAUCUUCAAAAGCCAAAUAAGAAAUCAAAGCAGGAUGUAUUCAGCAAGGUCCUCGGUCAGCUCUUAGUCCAUGCUGACCAUAGCCUGGGUUCCAUGCUUCCACCUCUGAAAAAGAGCACCACUGAAACAUCACAUUUGCCCAUGAUUCUGCCAUCAGUGAUAUACCCCCAGUUAUGACUACACUUGAACCUCAAGGUCAGAGCCAUGAAAGCGACGGGGAGAAAGCUGGACCAUCACAGACCAGCAGCAAUGCACAUGCUAGUAAACCUGGGCUUUCAGUGGCAGCUCAUGCUUUGUCCAGCCAUCCUGAGAGUGGGAGCAACAAAGUGAAUAU